UACGGAGGGUGCGAGCGUUGUCCGGAAUCACUGGGCGUAAAGGGCGCGUAGGUGGCCUGUGGAAUUCUGCGGUGAAAGCCCGGCGCUCAACGCCGGGUCGGCCGUGGAUACUCUCGGGCUUGAGCUUACUAGAGGCAGAUGGAAUUCCGGGUGUAGCGGUGGAAUGCGUAGAGAUCCGGAAGAACACCGGUGGCGAAGGCGGUCUGCUGGGGUAAUGCUGACACUGAGGCGCGACAGCGUGGGGAGCAAACAGG
rnacentral:rRNA from 1 species